UGGAGUUGACGGGAACAUUCGCACAGAAGAGGAAUUUGUGAGGAUUCUGAACCACUCAUUGAGGCCGUGGAGUGUGUUGUUUAAUGAGUAAUACAGCUAACUGCAGUGUUCCACAAGACUGUUACCAGACCUUCAUGGGACCUUUCCGUUCUUUCUGGGUUGUCUUGAGGUUCUUCAGCGUUAGAGAGCAACUGAAAACAGGACACAGACCCAACCAGAGGACAACAACUCUACAUUGACUCAGAGGAAUCCUCCAGGACGACGACACAAACCAAAACCACUGCACAACUCUACAUCAACUCCCACACUUUCCAGAGGAUUCCUCCUGUAUGCUGUUCAUGGUGAAGAGCAACUUGAGGCUGACAGGGAUGCAAGUUGGACUGCUUAUCAAAGACAAAGGCCAGCUACAAGUCUUCAUCAUCAUUCAUCACAAGGUCAUCAUUCAUUUCAAAAGGGACAUGCCAACUGGCUAGUUGGGCUCAA